rnacentral:rRNA from 1 species
UUGAUCCUGGCUCAGGAUGAACGCUGGCGGUCUGCUUAACACAUGCAAGUCGAACGCAACCUUCGGGUUGAGUGGCGGACGGGUGAGUAACGCGUGAGAAUCUGCCUUGGGGUCGGGGACAACCACUGGAAACGGUGGCUAAUACCGGAUAAGCCUUUGGGUAAAAGAUUUAUUGCCCCAAGAGGAGCUCGCGUCUGAUUAGCUAGUUGGUGAGGUAAAAGCUCACCAAGGCAGCGAUCAGUAGCUGGUCUGAGAGGACGAUCAGCCACACUGGGACUGAGACACGGCCCAGACUCCUACGGGAGGCAGCAGUGGGGAAUUUUCCGCAAUGGGCGAAAGCCUGACGGAGCAAGACCGCGUGAGGGAGGAAGGCUCUUGGGUUGUAAACCUCUUUUCUCAGGGAAGAAGCUCUGACGGUACCUGAGGAAUCAGCCUCGGCUAAACUCCGUGCCAGCAGCCGCGGUAAUACGGAGGAGGCAAGCGUUAUCCGGAAUUAUUGGGCGUAAAGCGUCCGCAGGUGGCGAUUCAAGUCUGCUGUCAAAGCACGGGGCUUAACUCCGUUAAGGCAGUGGAAACUGAAUAGCUAGAGUGCCG